AACAAACGCUGGCGGCGUGCCUAAUACAUGCAAGUCGAACGGGGAAAGUAGCAAUAUGAGUACUAGUGGCGCACGGGUGAGUAACGCGUGGAUAAUCUGCCUUGAAGAGGGGGAUAACUAGUCGAAAGAUUAGCUAAUACCGCAUAAGACCACAAGAACUGAGGUUCAAGGGGUCAAAGGUUUUUCGCUUCAAGAUGAGUCCGCGUAAGAUUAGCUAGUUGGUGAGGUAAUGGCUCACCAAGGCAACGAUCUUUAACUGGUCUGAGAGGAUGAUCAGUCACACUGGAACUGAGACACGGUCCAGACUCCUACGGGAGGCAGCAGUAGGGAAUAUUGCACAAUGGAGGAAACUCUGAUGCAGCGACGCCGCGUGAGUGAUGAAGGCCUUCGGGUCGUAAAGCUCUGUCGCAGGGGAAUACCACAAUGAAUGUACCCUGUAAGAAAGGAUCGGCUAACUUCGUG
rnacentral:rRNA from 1 species